GACGAACGCUGGCGGCGUGCCUAAUACAUGCAAGUAGAACGCAGUUGCGAACGGGUGAGUAACGCGUAGGUACCUGCCUGGUAGCGGGGGAUAACUAUUGGAAACGAUAGCUAAUACCGCAUACUACCAGAUGGACCUGCGUUGUAUUAGGUAGUUGGUGGGGUAACGGCUCACCAAGGCAACGAUACAUCGUCGGCCGGAGAGGGUGAACGGCGACACUGGGACUGAGACCGGGGCCAGAAUCCUACGGGAGGCAGCAGUAGGGAAUCUUCGGAAAUUGGGGGAACACUGAGCGAGCAACGCCGCGUGAGUGAAGAAGGUUUUCGGGUCGUGAAGCUCUGUUGUGAAGGAAGCGGUACUUAACCAGAAAGGGACGGCUAACUACGUGCCAGCAGCCGCGGUAAUAC
rnacentral:rRNA from 1 species